GACGAACGCUGGCGGCGUGCUUAACACAUGCAAGUCGAACGGAAAGGCCCUGCUUUUGUGGGGUGCUCGAGUGGCGAACGGGUGAGUAACACGUGAGUAACCUGCCCUUGACUUUGGGAUAACUUCAGGAAACUGGGGCUAAUACCGGAUAGGAGCUCCUGCUGCAUGGUGGGGGUUGGAAAGUUUCGGCGGUUGGGGAUGGACUCGCGGCUUAUCAGCUUGUUGGUGGGGUAGUGGCUUACCAAGGCUUUGACGGGUAGCCGGCCUGAGAGGGUGACCGGGCAAAUUGGGACUGAGAUACGGCCCAGAGUACUACGGGAGGCAGCAGUGGGGAAUAUUGCACAAUGGGCGGAAGCCUGAUGCAGCAACGCCGCGUGCGGGAUGACGGCCUUCGGGUUGUAAACCGCUUUCGCCUGUGACGAAGCGUGAGUGACGGUAAUGGGUAAAGAAGCACCGGCUAACUACGUG
rnacentral:rRNA from 1 species